GCCCCCAGGAUCCAGGCUGGGCGGCGGGAAGGAGCUGAGGAGAGCCGCGCAAUGGAAACCUGGGUGCAGGGACUGUGGGGCUGGAAGGCGGGGCUGGGCGCGCUCUCGCAGAGCCCCCGCCUUGCCCUUCCUUCCCUCCUUCGUCCCCUCCUCACACCCCAACCGGAAGGCCACAACGACGGCGACCGCAAAGCACCACGCGGAGAUACCCGUGUUUCUGGAGGCCAGCUUUACUGUGCUAGAGGAAGAGGGUCCCCACAUCCGGACCUCGCCCUCCUGGCCCGGUUUGCUGAAGCAACGCACUUGGCCUACCCACUGGGUGGGGCAGGAAGUCUCGAGCCUUCCCUUGGGGCCCUGACCCGGAACUGUGGCCCAUGGGCAGAGAUAGUCCCUCACCUUGUGGAAGAACACCGUCUCCAAGAGGUUGAUGAUGGAGGCCUCAUGGUGCACCUGUCAGACAAAGAGAAGGACAGGGCCUGAGGAAGGGACAGGGGCUACCAGCUCUCCUCCCUGGUCCAGAGCCCUCUGAAGGAGUGGGAAGAGCUCCUGAAUGGGCUCGCCCUGGCUGACUGUGGCAUCGAGGAUGGCUUGCAUGUUCAGCUUCUCCAGGUUCUCAUGCUGCUGGUUCCACCUGCCUCAGAGG